CCUACGGGAGGCUGCAGUGAGGAAUCUUGGUCAAUGGACGAAAGUCUGAACCAGCCACGCCGCGUGCACGAAGAAAGCCCUAUGAGUUGUAAACUGCUUUUGUACAAGGGUAAACCUGAAUACGAGUAUUCAGCUGAAAGUACUGUACGAAUAAGGAUCGGCUAACUACGUGCCAGCAGCCGCGGUAAUACUGAGGAGCCAAGCGUUCUCCGGAUUUAUUGGGUGUAAAGGGUGCGUAGGCGGAUUGAUAAGUUAGAGGUGAAAGGUCCGAGCUUAACCCGGGAACUGCCUCUAAUACUGUUGGUCUAGAGAGUAGAUGCGGUAGGCGGAAUGUAUGGUGUAGCGGUGAAAUGCUUAGAUAUCA
rnacentral:rRNA from 1 species